rnacentral:rRNA from 1 species
GAUGAACGCUGGCGGCGUGCCUAAUACAUGCAAGUCGAGCGAACGGACGAGAAGCUUGCUUCUCUGAUGUUAGCGGCGGACGGGUGAGUAACACGUGGAUAACCUACCUAUAAGACUGGGAUAACUUCGGGAAACCGGAGCUAAUACCGGAUAAUAUUUUGAACCGCAUGGUUCAAAAGUGAAAGACGGUCUUGCUGUCACUUAUAGAUGGAUCCGCGCUGCAUUAGCUAGUUGGUAAGGUAACGGCUUACCAAGGCAACGAUGCAUAGCCGACCUGAGAGGGUGAACGGCCAAACUGGAACUGAGACACGGUCCAGACUCCUACGGGAGGCAGCAGUAGGGAAUCUUCCGCAAUGGGCGAAAGCCUGACGGAGCAACGCCGCGUGAGUGAUGAAGGUCUUCGGAUCGUAAAACUCUGUUAUUAGGGAAGAACAUAUGUGUAAGUAACUGUGCACAUCUUGACGGUACCUAAUCAGAAAGCCACGGCUAACUACGUG